UACGUAGGGGGCAAGCGUUGUCCGGAAUCAUUGGGCGUAAAGCGCGUGUAGGCGGCCCGGUAAGUCCGCUGUGAAAGUCGGGGGCUCAACCCUCGAAUGCCGGUGGAUACUGUCGGGCUAGAGUGCGGAAGAGGCGAGUGGAAUUCCGUGGUGUAGCGGUGAAAUGCGCAGAUAUCAGGAGGAACACCGAUUGCGAAGGCAGCUCGCUGGGACGUAACUGACGCUGAGACGCGAAAGCGUGGGGAGCAAACAGG
rnacentral:rRNA from 1 species